UCAAGGACUGCUGUUGCCAUGGAGACUAGGGGGUUGUUUGUCCUGCAGUGUUUAGGUGGUGGUACAUGUCAAACAUCCACAUGAAUGUCAAGGUUUCCCAGCAGAACGUUGCAUUAGAACAAGAUGAUGGAUGUUGUUCUCUUCAGCUGUCAGUGGUCAGAAUGUUGUGGCUGAUCGGUGGAUCUGUCUGCCUUUACUCUGACAUCCAGAGUUAUACAAAAGUGUAGUAUGUGUGCAGUGCAGAAGAGAUUUACUUUGUUGUAUGCAGUUUUAGUGGUCCCAUCAGAGAAAAUCAUAUCCAUAUACAGGUUUUUAUUAAUUCCAGGGCUGGUUCAGUAAAGAUUAUAUUUAGAGGUAGACCGAUAUAUCGGCCGGCCGAUAUUUUGGGCCGAUAUAUGGACUUUUUUCAAUAUCGGCCAUCGGCCGAUAUUUACAAAUAAAAAGCCGAUUUGUGAUCAGGCACCCGUGCGGGCAGCUGCCGCGACCGCUUUUCCCUUAGAAGGACCCCCGGCACUCAGAGAGCGGAGCAUGAGCGGAGCGAGUGAGCCAGGCAACAACAAGCCUCGCUCCACACCUGCUUAUUUGGUAAAAAAAAAAAAAAAACAGAUGCACAAUGAGGGACGUCUGCAGCGACUGAGAAAGAGUCUCACCACAUCCUGACAUGAGGAAAAAGACUUUAUUGAAGACUACAAUGAGAAAAACUAUCAGACAGCAGACGGCUGCAUUCAAGGUGAGCUCUGAACAUUUGAUCUGGAACAGGAAUUCAAUAACUGCAGCAUGAGCUUCAUUUCAGUCUGUAGCUGCUGAAUUCAUGGAUGAAUCAUCUGGCACUAGAGAGGAAGACGAUCAAACAUCCACGUCAGCUGAUGGAGGUCCAAGAGUCUUACCAAACAAACAACCUACAGAGUGAAGACCUCAAAUCUGAUUGGACGGCCUCCUAUUCAGCCACAUGUGUGAACAAAUGUCUCUAAGUUGAUUUGUUUUUUAAAAUAAAUCUAGUUUGAGUCCUAA